rnacentral:rRNA from 1 species
GGAGACGCUGGCGGCGUGCCUAAUACAUGCAAGUCGAACGCUUCUUUUUCCACCGGAGCUUGCUCCACCGGAAAAAGAGGAGUGGCGAACGGGUGAGUAACACGUGGGUAACCUGCCCAUCAGAAGGGGAUAACACUUGGAAACAGGUGCUAAUACCGUAUAACAAUCGAAACCGCAUGGUUUUGAUUUGAAAGGCGCUUUCGGGUGUCGCUGAUGGAUGGACCCGCGGUGCAUUAGCUAGUUGGUGAGGUAACGGCUCACCAAGGCGACGAUGCAUAGCCGACCUGAGAGGGUGAUCGGCCACAUUGGGACUGAGACACGGCCCAAACUCCUACGGGAGGCAGCAGUAGGGAAUCUUCGGCAAUGGACGAAAGUCUGACCGAGCAACGCCGCGUGAGUGAAGAAGGUUUUCGGAUCGUAAAACUCUGUUGUUAGAGAAGAACAAGGAUGAGAGUAACUGUUCAUCCCUUGACGGUAUCUAACCAGAAAGCCACGGCUAACUACGUGCCAGCAGCCGCGGUAAUACGUAGGUGGCAAGCGUUGUCCGGAUUUAUUGGGCGUAAAGCGAGCGCAGGCGGUUUCUUAAGUCUGAUGUGAAAGCCCCCGGCUCAACCGGGGAGGGUCAUUGGAAACUGGGAGACUUGAGUGCAGAAGAGGAGAGUGGAAUUCCAUGUGUAGCGGUGAAAUGCGUAGAUAUAUGGAGGAACACCAGUGGCGAAGGCGGCUCUCUGGUCUGUAACUGACGCUGAGGCUCGAAAGCGUGGGGAGCAAACAGGAUUAGAUACCCUGGUAGUCCACGCCGUAAACGAUGAGUGCUAAGUGUUGGAGGGUUUCCGCCCUUCAGUGCUGCAGCUAACGCAUUAAGCACUCCGCCUGGGGAGUACGACCGCAAGGUUGAAACUCAAAGGAAUUGACGGGGGCCCGCACAAGCGGUGGAGCAUGUGGUUUAAUUCGAAGCAACGCGAAGAACCUUACCAGGUCUUGACAUCCUUUGACCAC